AGUGAACGCUGGCGGUAGGCCUAACACAUGCAAGUCGAACGGCAGCACAGUAAGAGCUUGCUCUUACGGGUGGCGAGUGGCGGACGGGUGAGGAAUACAUCGGAAUCUACUUUUUCGUGGGGGAUAACGUAGGGAAACUUACGCUAAUACCGCAUACGACCUACGGGUGAAAGCAGGGGAUCUUCGGACCUUGCGCGAUUGAAUGAGCCGAUGUCGGAUUAGCUAGUUGGCGGGGUAAAGGCCCACCAAGGCGACGAUCCGUAGCUGGUCUGAGAGGAUGAUCAGCCACACUGGAACUGAGACACGGUCCAGGCGCCUACGGGAGGCAGCAGUGGGGAAUAUUGGACAAUGGGCGCAAGCCUGAUCCAGCCAUACCGCGUGGGUGAAGAAGGCCUUCGGGUUGUAAAGCCCUUUUGUUGGGAAAGAAAAGCAGCAGGUUAAUACCCCGCUGUUCUGACGGUACCCAAAGAAUAAGCACCGGCUAACUUCGUG
rnacentral:rRNA from 1 species